GACGAACGCUGGCGGCGUGCUUAACACAUGCAAGUCGAACGGAAAGGCCCCUUUGGGGGUACUCGAGUGGCGAACGGGUGAGUAACACGUGAGUAACCUGCCCUUGACUUCGGGAUAACUUCAGGAAACUGGGGCUAAUACCGGAUAGGAAUCCUUGCUGCAUGGUGGGGGUUGGAAAGCUUCUGCGGUUUUGGAUGGACUCGCGGCUUAUCAGCUUGUUGGUGGGGUAGUGGCUUACCAAGGCUUUGACGGGUAGCCGGCCUGAGAGGGCGACCGGCCACAUUGGGACUGAGAUACGGCCCAGACUCCUACGGGAGGCAGCAGUGGGGAAUAUUGCACAAUGGGCGGAAGCCUGAUGCAGCAACGCCGCGUGCGGGAUGACGGCCUUCGGGUUGUAAACCGCUUUCAGCAGGGGCGAAGCUUGUGGUGACGGUACCUGCAGAAGAAGCACCGGCUAACUACGUG
rnacentral:rRNA from 1 species